CUUAAAUUGAAGAGUUUGAUCAUGGCUCAGAUUGAACGCUGGCGGCAGGCCUAACACAUGCA
rnacentral:rRNA from 1 species